rnacentral:lncRNA from 1 species
AAUUUUCUGAAAGUUUUUCUUUUCAAGAGUUUUCCUUGAAUUUCUUUUAGAAGAAUUUUAACAAUCUUUUAACAUUGUAAGGAUCAUUUUCAAACUUUUUUCUUGCCAAGGUUUCUAUCUUGGAGAGAAAAUUAGAUCUGUUUAAAAGAAAUUGUGGAUUCUUCGUGUUUCCAAGACUUCUUAGGACUUCUACACGCUACUUUCUAUCUUUGUAUUUAUCUUCUUUAUCCGCUUCCUUAUUAUUCUAAGAAUCAAGUUAGUAAAAUAGAUUCUGAAGUGGCGAACCAUCAGGAGAAUAUAUAGCGAGGAGCUAAAACAGACAGCUUACAAAGGAGAAAUCUAACCUAGACAUUGCUAUAAAUUUUGGUAGACAUAAACAAAAUUUUCUACAAAAAAAUUGUGGCAGACAGAUUUUACAGGGAAAAUAAAAAUUACAAAUUGGAGAGUGUAUAAUGGAUAUAUUCCAACAAUGGGUAAUUUGCAUUACAAAUGGAUUUGCAACACAACAUUAUGCCCUUGCUGUAAAGGAGGUACAGAAUCAAUGGAAGAUGCCUUCAGGGAUUGCACUGCAGUCAGAAAUAUCUAGAAGGAGCUAGGGAUGCAAGUAACUCAAAGGGAAGAGGAAGAGAGAUAUCGACAGUGGAUUAAAAAGUUGCUCACUAGAAUGACAAAUAUGUACAGUAAGACUAUUUUCUGUAGCAUCUGGGCGAUAUGGAUGAGGAGAAACAAGAUCCUAUAUGAGAAAAAAUUCCAAUCAGUAGAAGAUAAAACACCAUUUAUUAACAAAUACUUGAGGGAAUGGGAGGUAAAAAACAGAUUACCCGGUCAGAGAAUAGAAGAAGAAUGGUGGAGACCACCAAAACCGUCUGAAAUCAAAAUAAACUUUGACGGGGCUUUUUACAGACAAACUUCCAAAUCAGGAACUGUCAUAAUUUCCAAGGACUCAGAAGGAAAGAUCCUCAACUGUACAACGGUAGUUAAUAAUCGAAUCCCUACUCUGUUUGUAACAAAGGCAUUACCCUACUUACAAGCAGUAAAGACGAGCUUAGAUAUGGGAUUACAAAAGGUGGUGGUAGAAGGAGACGCCUUCAACAUCAUUAAGAAAAUUCAAAACAACGAAAAAGACAAAUCAAUUUUAAUUUAAUAUAUUUUUGACAUUAAAACACUAAGCAAAAGUUAUAACGAGUGCAGAUUUCAAUAGAUAUACAGAAAAUGGAAUGAAACUGCACAUGCAGUAGCCCUAGAAGCUUUGAAACUUAAUAAGAACACCUACCUGGAAGGACAACUGCCAAGAUUGAUGACAACAGUGGCUGAAAAAGAUGCCAGAGAUCUAGAACGACCUUAAAGAAGAAGAAGGAGCAAGAGUUUUACCAGACAAAGGCGCAAAUGCAUUAAAGACACAGUCUUGAUUUUAAUCAUUUUCUCGAAUGCCUAAGGAAGGAGAAACGACUGGUCUUUGGAAAGCUGGGUAGGGGGUUUUCUGAAAUGAGGCUGAGCUAAGGUUUUUAGGAGAUGAUUUCAGUUUUAUUUUAG